UGGCUCAGAUUGAACGCUGGCGGCAUGCCUUACACAUGCAAGUCGAACGGCAGCGGACCUUCGGGUGCCGGCGAGUGGCGAACGGGUGAGUAAUAUAUCGGAACGUACCUUUCAGUGGGGGAUAACGUAGCGAAAGUUACGCUAAUACCGCAUAUUCUGUGAGCAGGAAAGCAGGGGAUCGCAAGACCUUGCGCUGAUUGAGCGGCCGAUAUCAGAUUAGCUAGUUGGUGAGGUAAAGGCUCACCAAGGCGACGAUCUGUAGCGGGUCUGAGAGGAUGAUCCGCCACACUGGAACUGAGACACGGUCCAGACUCCUACGGGAGGCAGCAGUGGGGAAUUUUGGACAAUGGGCGCAAGCCUGAUCCAGCCAUGCCGCGUGAGUGAAGAAGGCCUUCGGGUUGUAAAGCUCUUUCAGCCGGGAAGAAAACGCAUGGGUUAAUACCCUGUGUGGAUGACGGUACCGGAAUAAGAAGCACCGGCUAACUACGUG
rnacentral:rRNA from 1 species